rnacentral:rRNA from 1 species
AUUGAACGCUGGCGGCAUGCCUUACACAUGCAAGUCGAACGGUAACAGGUCUUCGGAUGCUGACGAGUGGCGAACGGGUGAGUAAUACAUCGGAACGUGCCUAGUAGUGGGGGAUAACUACUCGAAAGAGUGGCUAAUACCGCAUGAGAUCUACGGAUGAAAGCAGGGGAUCGUAAGACCUUGUGCUACUAGAGCGGCCGAUGGCAGAUUAGGUAGUUGGUGGGAUAAAAGCUUACCAAGCCGACGAUCUGUAGCUGGUCUGAGAGGACGAUCAGCCACACGGGGACUGAGACACGGCCCAGACUCCUACGGGAGGCAGCAGUGGGGAAUUUUGGACAAUGGGCGCAAGCCUGAUUCAGCAAUGCCGCGUGCAGGAUGAAGGCCUUCGGGUUGUAAACUGCUUUUGUACGGAACGAAAAGCCCUGGGUUAAUACCCUGGGGUCAUGACGGUACCGUAAGAAUAAGCACCGGCUAACUCCGUGCCAGCAGCCGCAGUAACAC